rnacentral:rRNA from 1 species
CCUACGGGAGGCAGCAGUGAGGAAUAUUGGUCAAUGGACGAGAGUCUGAACCAGCCAAGUAGCGUGAAGGAUGACUGCCCUAUGGGUUGUAAACUUCUUUUAUAUGGGAAUAAAAUGUUCCACGUGUGGGAUUUUGUAUGUACCCUAUGUAUAAGGAUCGGCUAACGCCGUGCCAGCAGCCGCGGUAAUACGGAGGAUCCGAGCGUUAUCCGGAUUUAUUGGGUUUAAAGGGUGCGUAGGUGGGUUGUUAAGUCAGUUGUGAAAGUUUGCGGCUCAACCGUAAAAUUGCAGUUGAAACUGGCAGUCUUGAGUACAGUAGAGGUGGGCGGAAUUCGGGGUGUAGCGGUGAAAUGCUUAGAUAUCACGAAGAACUCCGAUUGCGAAGGCGGCUUACUGGACUGAAACUGACGUUGAGGCUCGAAAGCGUGGGGAGCAAACAGGAUUAGAUACCCUUGUAGUC